rnacentral:rRNA from 1 species
UUAAACUGAAGAGUUUGAUCAUGGCUCAGAUUGAACGCUGGCGGCAGGCCUAACACAUGCAAGUCGAGCGGAAACGAUGGGAGCUUGCUUCCAGGCGUCGAGCGGCGGACGGGUGAGUAAUGCAUAGGAAUCUGCCCGGUAGUGGGGGAUAACCUGGGGAAACCCAGGCUAAUACCGCAUACGUCCUACGGGAGAAAGCAGG